ACACAGCCAAUUCCGUCAUCAUCAGCACGGUAGGCGUGCUAAUGUCACAGUAUGAUUGGUGAUGCCAGCCCAGGACUUUAAGUGAAGGCUCACUGAAUCAGAAGGCGUGGAGGCAUGGCUAGUAGCCACACUUUUAAACACACUAACAUAAUGAAAAACUAAAUGUAAAGGAAAUUAAAAUUGUUUUUGGCCCUAUAGAUCAGGCUUCCCCAAACUCCGGCCCUCCAGAUGUUGCUGAACUACAACUCCCUUGAUUCUAUGAAUUCAUUAGAUAGGC